CCCCGAGAUGAGUUCUCCCUGACCCUUUAAGGGUCCUGAAGGAACGUUGAAGACGACGACGUUGAUAGGCCGGGUGUGUAAGCGCAGCGAUGCGUUGAGCUAACCGGUACUAAUGAACCGUGAGGCUUAACCUUACAACGCCGAAGCUGUU
rnacentral:rRNA from 1 species